rnacentral:rRNA from 1 species
UACGGAGGGUGCGAGCGUUGUCCGGAAUCACUGGGCGUAAAGGGCGCGUAGGCGGCCGGCCAAGGUCGCGGUGAAAGCCCGGGGCUCAACCCCGGGUCGGCCGUGGCAACUAGCCGGCUCGAGCACUGUAGGGGCGGGUGGAAUUCCGGGUGUAGCGGUGGAAUGCGUAGAGAUCCGGAAGAACACCGGUGGCGAAGGCGGCCCGCUGGGCAGGAAGGCCUGGGUAACCAGGCCGGCUGACGCUGAGGCGCGACAGCGUGGGGAGCAAACAGG